ACGGAGCAACCCGAAAAUCCAUAACAGAGUUGGGA
rfam:Paludibacter propionicigenes WB4, complete genome.